rnacentral:rRNA from 1 species
UGCCAGCCGCCGCGGUAAUACGGGGGGAGCAAGCGUUGUCCGGAAUCACUGGGCGUAAAGGGCAGUCAGGCGGUUUCUUAAGUCAGGUCUUAAAGACCACCGCUCACCGGUGGGAGUGGACCCGAUACUGAGAGACUAGAGACCAUCAGAGGCAAGCGGAAUUCCGGGUGUAGCGGUGAAAUGCGUAGAUAUCCGGAGGAACACCAGUGGCGAAGGCGGCUUGCUGGGGUGGUACUGACGCUGAACUGCGAAAGUGUGGGGAGCAAACACGAUUAGAUA